AAAGAAACUCGCACCCAGACCCCCGGCAAGAUGGUUUUUGGGGACACUAGUCCACCAUCUUCUUGGUCUGCUGGCACUGUUCCUUGCCCCAACAACUUGUCUCUCCUGAAUCAUUGGUCCGUCAUGCUGCACGCAGUACAAGUUUGGACUCGGUAACGCUCCAAUCUGAGGGGCACUGGGCAGAAAGACAUCUCAUCAGAACCCAGGAAGCGAUGAGAAACUGUCUCAUGAAAGCCUCCAGGGAAGAUAAAAAGCUUUCUGCCAAGACUCAGAUUGGCUACAGUUCAAGCCUCUGACUAAAUGAAUAUGUGAAAAGUUUCCAGGAUGCCAUAGAAGAACCACCCCCUUACCAUGGCAUGAACUUUCCAUACUUCUUUAGAUAUAAGCAAUGGAUACAAGAUCUCCAGACGCAAGCUGUCACGAGGCUGUCUGUGUCUCCCCCGAAUUCUUAUGUUGAAGCCCUAGCUCUAGAUGUGCUGGUAUUAUGGGGCCUUUAGGAGCUCUCUGCAAGCCAGGGGAGGGCUGUCACCAAAACCAUUCUUUGCACUCUGGUCUCAGACUUCACAGCCUCCAGACUGUGAGUAGUAAGUUUCUGUUGUUCAAGCCACCCAGUCUAGGGUAUUUUGUUAUAAAAGUCCUAAUUGACUGAAACAGGUGCACAGAAAGACGGUAACAUUGGGAAUUCCCUAGCGGUCCAGUGCUUAGGACUCGGGGAUUUCACUGCCAUGGUCCGGGUUCAAUCCCUAGCCACGCAGCAAGGCAAAAAAAAAAAAAGACGGUAACGUUGAUUGGCUCUUAGAGGUGCCUGGAGCCAGGCGGGGCAGGUAGCCCAUAGUGGAGACAGCCGGCAGGGGUCGCUGUUCCUUCUCUCGCUCAGGUACCCAGACUGAUGGAGAGGCCAGAAUCUCUUCUCAAGCAUUGCUGGUCACUGUGUCAGGUGGAACAGAGAGCUGGGAACAGAGUGACGCUCGCCACUGCCAUCCACGACUCAUCGUCCAGGACAGACAACAAAGCCCGCGAAUGCCGUCGUAUUGGCCCCCUAAUGAGGUCAGGGAUUUUGGCGCCGAGCAAGGAAAAAUAUAUGACCACAAGGUGGCAGUAGCACACAAGGAAUUUUCUUUGGAGGCUGUUUGGACAGGUUUGCACGUGAGAAGGGUCCUCGCUGCUUGAAACCUGCCAAAGGCAAAGGGCUGGGGACUGCUACCCAGAAGGGGAGGUGGGCUAGGGAACAAGAGGGCUAUUGAAGAGGAGGCUUCUGGGUCUAGGCGCUGUUGUUCCCCUGCAGAGGCAGGGAGCCUCGGGUCAGAGAGCUCCAGCCCACAGCAGCAGUUUGGGGUCUUGUGGUGGUGCAGGGUUUACCUAUGGCUAGCAGACGCUGGCUGCAAUUUCUUGGGGUAUGCAAAGCAGGCAGGCUCUAACUAGUUAAAAAUCUGCUUCUUGGGUCUAUAUUUUAAACAAUUGCAUGUGUAAAACUUUGAGUUUGGCGCCAAUGGGCUUUUGAGCUAACGGAUCUCAGCCUGCUGUGAAGAAGUACACGCAUAUACAGAGGCCUUCUUUGGCUCAUUUAUAUACUAGUGUCCCAAAUGGGGAUCAUUUGGAGAUCCUUGGUGUUCGGUCAAAAGGCAGGCCACCCCAAAAUGUGCUUCAAUGGCAUAUUGAUGGUUUUGAAUUAAAGUUACUACCCAAGCCCAAACUUUGCAUUAAAUUCCUUACUA